ACAUAAGCUAAGUUAAUUCAGUGAGGAUUAUAUUGAUUACAGUUAGAUUUGCAGCUUUAGAUGUUAAAACCUAGGCAUUUUUGCUGAACAAGAUAUUAAUUUUAACUUUAAAGUUAAGCACAUUUAAAUUAGGAUUUUUUCAAAAUGAAAUAGACUCAAUGUGUGUGGUUUUUUUUUUUUUUUUUUUUUAUCUAUCCAGUUCAUAUGCUUCACUUCUAGAUGUACUGAUACGGUUAUUUCCAUAAAUAAUUUUUGGCCCUAUGAGAUGCUGGAGCACUGCUUAUAACUUUUGGUUGGGGACUCUAUGGAUAGGAAAUUCUGGGCAAGGUUAUACUCUUCAUGUCAUUAGUGUAGCUGCUGGUGAGGUUGUGAAAAUGCAAGAGUACUUUUUUGGUAAAGCACAAUUUGGAAUGGAAGAUGG